ensembl:lncRNA
AUGUUCCUUAAGAGUAUGAGGCUUUCUGCAGAACAGGGGAAAUUCCACACAGAAUCAUGUGACCUACCAGAACGGUACCCGGCAAUUUUAUGGGCAUGCAGGGAAGUUCCUCAUUUAUGGUGCAUCACCAUAGAAACAUUCCACUUUGGCAACGAUGCUGUCACACACAGACUGGAAAGCAACCAAGAACGAGAUCAAAUGGUACACCAUGAACAUUUUACAUAGCCUUAUGGUGUAAAAUUUUAUGACAGUAGCAUUUCAAAUGUUCCUGAGUCUAUCUACUUUUUAUGUCUGGCCUUAAUGUUAAUAUAACACUGUCUCUUAAGCUACAGCACCUAAAUUCCACUGUCUCUGGAUAAAUUGGAACAUGUCGAGCUGUCUUCUGGCCUGGCAGGAGGGGGACGGCAUGCUAACUAUACCUGGGCUCUGAUUGGUGCAGCUUGUGUAAGCAUAUGACACUUUAAAUAGCAAUUUCUUGUUUCCAUGCACAAACAAGGCUAGAAAAAUGGCAGCUUUAUCUGUGAGUGUUUGCCAGUCAUAUCGUGCUUACUGCCAUUAGCAGGAAGUGGCCGACAUGUGGUAAACACUGGUUGAAUUGGUUGGGUGCAGUGGGUUCACACACACAUCUGUCCACACAACCAAGCCAAGUCCGUUUUCUAAAGACUACGUGUGAAAUCAAAUCCUUCUCCCAAUAUACAGUUCUCCACUGGGCUCGGUUGUUUUUAGCUUUUGGGAAGCAAGCACGACUGGAAGCAGGUUGCCGUAAAUAGACUCUGUAAAUGUGACUUGGCUCAUGCUCUAGACUGCAGAAUUCCCUGCACAUUUGAAAGGAGCAGACAGGAGAAUACAAAUCUGUUUCUGUUGCUCUCACUUGGAAGUUGCUUUAGAUGAAAGCAUCUGCUAAAUGAAUGAAUCUUAUAUAGACUGUGUUUUGUAUAAAGUUUCAAAUGAAAUGAGAAGAAUAGGCAAGACUACAAGAAAAAGUAAAACAUGGGUCUUUGGUGGAUGUAGUUAUUGGACACCAGCUAAAAAAAAAAAACCCUAAUCCCGACAACAACAACAAAACACAAAAGUCCUGACUCGUAAUCAAAAUAACUGUGAUCAGAGGGAUUUUCUGUGUGAAAUGUGAAAUAUUGCUGACACACUGUAUAUGGCUAUAUCUGCUUGCUAAUGUCACUCGUGGAUCUUUUGUGUGCAUAUAUCAGCCACUUAUGAUCUCUUUGUUGCAGUGUGACUUUUGAUCUGACUCAAAGGUUUAUUCAGAAGUCAGCAAUAGACAUGUGACUUAAAACAGCAACAUUUUACGAAUGGGUAUGUCAGUUCAAUCAGUAGAAGUUGCCAUGCGAUUCUGGUUGUUUGUAGCAGGUUGACACCACCAUUUGCCAAUGUUUUGCCUGUAAUUCAGAGUUAUUUGGAAGUUUCCAACCUAUUUUUAUUUAGAGGUUUCCACCAUAAAAGUCACACACUUUUUAGACAGCUAACGGUAUUAACAAACUUCAAGUACUAACAUUUACUGAAAUCAACAGGUACUAUUUAGGCUACCAAAUAGCAAAAUUUUAAUAAAACAUGCCCCAAAUCAUUCA